rnacentral:tRNA from 1 species
GGGCCGCUGGCUCCGGUUCUGAGCGGCCGUUCCGAGUGGCCGUUCCGAGCGGCCGUUCCGGGCAGCCGCCGCCCG